rnacentral:rRNA from 1 species
ACGCUCGACACCUACGGGAGGCAGCAGUUGGGAAUAUUGGACAAUGGAGGAAACUCUGAUCCAGUGACGCCGCGUGAAGGAAGAAGGUCUUCGGAUUGUAAACUUAUUUUGUCAGGGAAGAAAAAUGACUGUACCUGAAGAAAAAGCACCGGCUAACUACGUGCUAGCAGCCGCGGUAAUCUGAGCGGGCUGGCAAGGC